rnacentral:rRNA from 1 species
UACAGAGGGGCAAGCGUUGUUCGGAAUUACUGGGCGUAAAGGGCGCGUUAGGCGGCCCGCUAAGUCGAACGUGAAAUCCCCGAGCUCAACUCGGGAACUGCGUCCGAUACUGGCGGGCUUGAAUCCGGGAGAGGGAUGCGGAAUUCCAGGUGUAGCGGUGAAAUGCGUAGAUAUCUGGAGGAACGCCGGUGGCGAAAGCGCACGACUGGUCCUCUUCUGACGCUGAGGCGCGAAAGCCAGGG